rnacentral:rRNA from 1 species
GAUGAACGCUGGCGGCGUGCCUAAUACAUGUAAGUCGAACGGAGUAUUUAGCAAUAGAUACUUAGUGGCGAACGGGUGAGUAACGCGUUGGUGACCUGCCCCGAAGAGUGGGAUAACAGUUCGAAAGGACUGCUAAUACCGCAUAAUAUCGUCAGGGUUAGAGACCUGAUGAAGAAAGGAGCGAUCCGCUUUGGGAGGGGCCUGCGUCCCAUCAGCUAGUUGGUAAGGUAACGGCUUACCAAGGCGAAGACGGGUAGGGGGCCUGAGAGGGUGACCCCCCACACUGGCACUGAAACACGGGCCAGACACCUACGGGUGGCAGCAGUAGGGAAUAUUGCACAAUGGGCGAAAGCCUGAUGCAGCAACGCCGCGUGCGCGAAGAAGGCCUUCGGGUCGUAAAGCGCUUUUCGGGGAGAAGAGGAAGGACGGUAUCCCCGGAAUAAGGCUCGGCUAACUACGUGCCAGCAGCCGCGGUAACACGUAGGAGCCAAGCGUUAUCCGAAUUCACUGGGCGUAAAGCGCGUGUAGGCGGCUUGGUAAGUUGGAUGUGAAAGCUCCUGGCUCAACUGGGAGAGGACGUUCAAUACUGUCAGGCUAGAGGACGGCAGAGGGAGGUGGAAUUCCCGGUGUAGUGGUGAAAUGCGUAGAUAUCGGGAGGAACACCAGUGGCGAAGGCGGCCUUCUGGGCCGUACCUGACGCUCAGACGCGAAAGCUAGGGGAGCGAACGGGAUUAGAGACCCCGGUAGUCCUAGCUGUAAACGAUGUAGACUUGGUGUCGUUGGGUUAAAAGCCGGCGGUGCCGAAGCAAACGCGAUAAGUCUACCGCCUGGGGACUACGACCGCAAGGUUAAAACUCAAAGGAAUUGACGGGGGCCCGCACAAGCAGCGGAGCGUGUGGUUUAAUUCGAUGCUACGCGAAGAACCUUACCCGGGUUUGACAUGCAGAUGGUAGGGAAGCGAAAGUGGACCGACCCUUCGGGGAGUCUGCACAGGUGCUGCAUGGCUGUCGUCAGCUCGUGUCGUG